UUCCUUGCAGGAUUUGCAACAGUUCCUAAGCAAAGUUGAAUCGAAACUGGUGCCACCUCUUCUGCUCCUGAAAGUCAGGCCCCCCAAACCCCUUGCAGGAAGCGUCUUUAAGAAUCCUUUUGAAGCCUUGAUGAAGAGUGAUGAUGGCAGCAUCCUGGGCUUGGGGUACAAUCCCAUGAUCAAGGACUGCCACUGGGAACACCAGGAGGCGAUUUUUAAGAGCACUUUCCGGCAGUAUCUGGAAGCAGAGAGCGAUGAGGAGAGCAAAGAAGAAAAAUCCAGCCACGCCAUGUUUCAUUUCCACC